AAUAGAUACCCCGGUAGUCCACGCCGUAAACGAUGAGUGCUAAGUGUUAGAGGGGUUUCCGCCCUUUAGUGCUGCAGCAAACGCAUUAAGCACUCCGCCUGGGGGAGUACGGUCGCAAGACUGAAACUCAAAAGGAAUUGACGGGGGGCCCGCACAAGCGGUGGAGCAUGUGGUUUAAUUCGAAGCAACGCGAAGAACCUUACCAGGUCUUGACAUCCUUAUGCCAUCCCUAGAGAUAGGGCUUUCCCCUUUGGGGGACAUAAGUGACAGGUGGUGCAUGGUUGUCGUCAGCUCGUGUCGUGAGAUGUUGGGGUUAAGUCCCGCAACGAGCGCAACCCUUGAUCUUAGUUGCCAGCAUUAAGUUGGGGCACUCUAAGGUGACUGCCGGUGACAAACCGGAGGAAGGUGGGGAUGACGUCAAAUCAUCAUGCCCCUUAUGACCUGGGCUACACACGUGCUACAAUGGAUGGUACAAAGGGCAGCGAAACCGCGAGGUUAAGCCAAUCCCAUAAAACCAUUCUCAGUUCGGAUUGCAGGCUGCUAACCG
rnacentral:rRNA from 1 species